GAACUUCUCCAAGCCGAGUUAAAAUCUUUUCACAAUCUUGUAUAUGAUCAACAACAUAUCUGCGACACCCCCUUGUAUCUAAAGUUUCAUCCUUGUCUCCUUCUCUGCACCCUUUUAUAGGAACAUCAUCCAGAAAAGGCAUAGUCUUUUCCGGAAUAAAAUCUCUCAAUACCUUAUUCAUCCCAUUCAUCAUAUGCGAAACUGAAUUGGUCGCGCCUUGAGAAAGAGUGCACAUUCUAACCAAUCCAAGUGGUGU
rnacentral:lncRNA from 1 species